AUGGUAGCAUAUCAGUUUGAGUCGAGAGCUCUAAUCGAAACAGUCAUCCAACGAAUCUCUCUGGCAGAGGAUAACUUUCUACUCCUUGCUAUCGUUUCCUUCAAGAAAAUACAUAUUUUGUAUGCUAUAGAUAUACAUAGGCCUAUCUUUAGCCUACAGAAAAAAAACAUCAGACGGACAGCUUUUUGGAGCGCUAUACGGAAAGAAAAAGAUACGGAAUUCCGAAGGUUCGAUUCAUUCAAAGCGAAAAAAUUGGUUACAAUCUUUGGUUUGAUUCGGGGCGUUAAAAAAAAAAACGAAUACAUUUGAAUUUAUGUGAUUAGUUUUGACAUAUGGUUGUAGUCAAAUAUCACGGUGCGAAAUCAGUCUGAUUUCAGUCCGAAUCAGUCUGUAGAUGUAAUUUGCGGAACUAGUAGGCCUAAAUGCGUUUGCCGACUAUUUUCUGAACGCUUCAAUUCAUUGAUCAUAGUAUCAACCAGCGACCGAAAAAGUUGCUGAAAACAAGCUAACACGUCAUCAGACUUCAGGUUGCUAGAAGGGGAUUUCAUUCAGAGGACAUGGAAUCUACAAAAGCAGGGGGUGUAAUAGCCUACAUCAGCUCCUCUAGCCCUGAGUCAUGUCAUAGUGACUCAAAUGACUGCAGCUAUAACUCCUCCCACAGCUGUCGCCAGGACAAUGUGGUGAACAAGCCCCUAAACAUGGCAGGCCUCACCCUCCCGCUGGCCCACACUAUCGCAAAGACCGGACGCUCGGCCUCCACUGCAAAAUGCGACAUUACUAAAAUCAACGGCCUGGUGCUGCUGUGUAAGGUGUGCGGAGACAUUGCAUCUGGAUUCCACUAUGGGGUUCAUGCCUGUGAGGGCUGCAAGGGUUUCUUCCGUCGGAGCAUCCAGCAGAACAUCCAGCAGAACAUCCAGUAUAAGAAAUGCCUGAAGAACGAGAGCUGUGCCAUCAUGAGGAUCAACAGGAACCGCUGCCAGCAGUGUCGCUUCAAGAAGUGUCUGCUUGUCGGCAUGUCCAAGGACUCUGUGCGUUUCGGCCGCAUCCCAAAGCGUGAGAAGCAGCGCAUGCUGCUAGAGAUGCAGAGUGCCGUGAACAACAUGAUGAACAACAGCCAGCUACACAGCCAGUUCCGCUGCAACACACCCUUCCCCCUGGCCAAUCCGCUUCAGUCGCCAGCCUGCCCCGUGGAGCCCCGCCCCCAAUAUGUUGAUUCUGGCCUAGGCUCCGUCCCCUCCUCCUCCACCUCUCCCGCCGCUUCCCCCAGGUCCAACCAAUCUGAGGAGACCAGCUCUGACCGCGAGCCUGCGGUCACCAAGAAUAAAAGCCCCAGCCCUAACUCUGUGUCUCCAUCGAGUGCUUCAGACUGCGGGUCAGAGGAGGUGAUUGGUUCGGUGACCCGGGCCCACCAGGAGACCUUAAUUUACAACCAGGAGCAAGGUAGCCCCUCCCCCGAGUCCCAGGCCUACGCCCAGCUGACCUCCCCGGGGGCGGAGCAACAUGUCAGUGACACUGGAAAGAGGAUAGACGAGAGGAACCGGAACCAACAGGAGGACGGGAACCAGCAGAUUAAGAACCAGAACCACCAAAAUGACCUGGCCUCAUUCACAGCCGCUCAGGCCCAUUACCAGGCUCAGGAGAGGCCCACCAACACUGGGCCUCAGGGUACUGACAGCCACCAUCGCCAGGAGGACCACACUACCAGCCUUAGUGAGAAUUACUGCCCCUACAGCAGGGACAGACUGCCCACCUGCUCCCCUAGUGGCCACUGCCCAUCCUACGCCCAACAUGGCCUGAGAGGCGGCAACAACAGCACUAGCCAGGCCACCUCCAAUUCCCAUGGAGGAUUCAGUGGACUACUGUGGAACAGGGGCAACAGGAUGCAUUUGCUGUGUCCCAUGAACACGUCUCCCCAUGUGAACCCCCAUAAUUCAGGCCAUGGGAUCUGGGAGGAGUUCAGCCAUAGUUUCACCCCAGCUGUCAGGGAGGUGGUGGAAUUUGCCAAGCGGAUCCCAGGCUUCAGAGACCUCUCCCAACAUGACCAGGUCAGCCUGCUCAAGGCUGGUACCUUUGAGACUUACCCAGCGUCUGCAGUCACUUCACCCAGACUUACCCAGCGUCUGCAGUCACUUCACCCAGACCUACCCAGCGUCUGCAGUCACUUCACCCAGACUUACCCAGCGUCUGCAGUCACUUCACCCAGACUUACCCAGCGUCUGCAGUCACUUCACCCAGACUUACCCAGCGUCUGCAGUCACUUCACCCAGACUUAUCCCAGUGUCUGCUGUCACUUCACCAGGUGCUAGUGGUUCGCUUUGCGUCCCUGUUUGACGUGAAAGACCGCAUAGUGACGUUUCUGGGUGGUAACAAGUACAGCGUGGAGAUGUUACAAGCCAUGGGCGCCGGCGACUUCCUGACCUCCAUGAUGGACUUCAGCGACAAGCUGAUGGGGCUCGGCCUCAGCGAGGAGGAAAUGAGCCUGUUCACCGCUGUCGUCCUCAUCUCUGCCGAUCGCUCAGGGAUUGAGAACGUAAACUCUGUGGAGGCUCUUCAGGAGACUCUGAUCCGGCACCUGAGGGGCCUCAUCACUAAGAACCACCCUAACGAGUCGGCCAUAUUCACCAAGCUGCUCCUCAGACUGCCCGACCUCCGCUCCCUCAAUAACAUGCACUCUGAGCAGCUGCUGGCCUUCAAGGUCCAUCCCUAGACCAGAACUAAGGUCAGAACCUGGGGUGUAUUCAUUAGGCACCAAAUGGAAGAACAUUUACUGAAAUGGGGAGGUACUACCUGAACUUGUCCAAUAAGAAAUGCUUGUCGUUGUCGUCGUCCCACCCCCAUUGCAAAACCUUCUGCUAAGGUGUACCCUAAUGAAUAUGACCAUGGACACUGGGCCUGUGGACCACAAAGCCCAUUUAUCCACCCACCCUGACACACCUCGACCAGCUAUCCCAAUGAACUAUGAACCCUGACCUCCCAAGAGAACCCUCUUAUUCUGCCACUCACUUCACGUGAUCUUUUUCCUUCACAAACAAGUUGAACUGGGCAAAUGUUUCACGGUUACAGGGGACGGAGGCUUAAGACUUAAAAGUUAUUGUACUGUGAGGCUAAAAGGCCUUUAUUGUUGAAGUAAUAACCAUGAACGUCAACAGAAGAUGGAUGUGUAAUGUUUGUCUUGUUUCUGUGUGUGCAGGACACGUUUCCGACUGUACAACUCUUCUUAGAGAAUAACCUUUUAUUAACAUUGUGUAAUGUGCAUUUUUGCAUAAUUUGUGCAAUAUGAUAUGUGACUGACUAUUUAGACUUUUUGUUUAGCUUUUCUACAGCAGGCUCCCUAACCCUGUUCCCAAAGAGCUAACCUCCUGUAGGUUUUUAUUAAUUGAACCUUUAUUUAACUAGUCAAGCCAGUUAAGAACAAAUUCUUAUUUAUAAUGACGGCCUACACCGGCCAAACCCGGGCGACGCUGGGCCAAUUGUGCGCCGCCAUAUGGGACUCCCAAUCUCGGCUGGUUGUGAUAUAGCCUGGAUUCGAUCCAGGGUGUCUGUAGUGACACCUCUAGCACUGAGAUGCAGUGCCUUAGACCGCUGCGCCACUCCAACCCUGUUCCCAGAGAGAUACCUUCCUGUAGGUUUUAACUCCAACCCUGUUCCCAGAGAGAUACCUUCCUGUAGGUUUUAACUCCAACCCUGUUCCCGGAGAGAUACCCUCCUGUAGGUUUUAACUCCAACCCUGUUCCCGGAGAGAUACCCUCCAGUAGGUUUUAACUCCAACCCUGUUCCCGGAGAGAUACCCUCCUGUAGGUUUUAACUCCAACCCUUAUCUAGCACACUUGAUUCUAACAAUUAGCUGGUUGAUAAACUGAAUCAGAUUAGGUCCAACUGGGGUUGGUGUUAGAACCUACAGGAAGCUAGUUCUCCAAGAACAGGAUUAGAGAGCCCCGUUCUACACCUUGGGUGUAUGUCUGUGGUUUAUUUAGGCAGACUAAUCCAAAAGGAUGUUGUGCUUACUGCCUAAAGAGAGGGUGAUUCUAAAGGGGGUUAGGGCUAGUUAAACUCAACACCUCUAGUUCAAAGUAAACUGACAAUGACAAUGAAUGACCACAGAGAAGUGUUAAGCCUCCUUUCUAAACUGUGUUGAGACAAGGGGAAUGUGGUAAAAGCAUAGGUAGACCUAUGUAAUCAUGGUAAACGCUGCUACUUCACAUCUGUCUCAGUGUGGCCUUAGCUAGUCACCUGAGGAAGAGCUUUCAAUGUCUUUUAUUUGUUGUUGAGAGGAAUCUCUUAUUUCAAGCUUACAGUUUGAGUUGAUGGUGCAGCAGUUGUAUCACAGACAGUUGGUGGCACCUUAAUUGGGGAGGAUGGCCAUGUGUUUGAUGCCAUUCCAUUCGCUCCCGUUCCGGACAUUGUGAACUGUCCUCCCCUCAGCAACAUCCUUUGGUGUAUAUGUUUUACACGCUAUCAUUUUCCAGAGGGGGUUAUGUUGUAAAUCAUGAAAUGUUCUUGUAGGUAAUGAUGUUGGGUUAUGAACUAACUGAAGUCCAUCAUUGACAGACGUGUUCCCGUCACUUAAUCAUUAUAGUGUAUUGUGAUAGACCUCCCAUUUGAAGAAUAGGGGAGCAAACAGACAGGAAGUCAAAUACAUGGAGGUUAUUUGAACUGCCAAAGGUUAACGUUGCUAACCAGUAUAACCUAUCAACACAUCUCCACUUGGAGGCAUUUUAGUUAUUUCCAUGUCAAAAGGAGACAUUUCAUAUUUUACACUUGUUAUACCCAUUUCAUAUUUUACACUUGUUAUACCCAUUUUAUAUUUUUCAUUUUGGUGCAAAUUGUUAAAUCAAAACAUGCGGUUUGAUUUUACAGGUGAAAACUGUACUUUGAUUGCUAAUUAUGCAUUUAAUUUGUUUACUGUAAAAAUGUUGUUUUGUGCGCACAUACUUGAUAUCGUGUCUUCGAAGCCCAUUCAGGCUGGGCACCAAUUGGUGUACGACUUUGAUUUGAUUUUCUUUCUAUCAUUACACAAACACAUGGAGGCUAUGCAGACUUGUGUCAUGUUGCUGUAGGGUCGGGGGUUGUGAGAAGGGAGAGACAUUGUAAGAAUGUUUUGUCAUUCAGUUGGACUCAUACAUACCACUGUCUCAAAUGUUUAAACAGAGGACCACUAAACUUGAAUAGAUUGAUGCUUUUGUCCUCUACCAUAAGUUUUCAAAUCUGUACACAGACUACAGAUAUAGUCAUGAAGUAAUGUAAAUAGGUGGAUUCUACUCAAAUACAGUAUGAUUGUAAAUAACA